GAUGAACGCUAGCGGCAGGCCUAACACAUGCAAGUCGAGGGGUAGAACACUUCGGUGUUUGAGACCGGCGCACGGGUGCGUAACGCGUAUGCAAUCUACCUUGUACAGGGGAAUAGCCCAGAGAAAUUUGGAUUAAUGCCCCAUAGUAUAUAACCUUCGCAUGUUGGUUAUAUUAAAGUUCCAACGGUACAAGAUGAGCAUGCGUCCCAUUAGUUAGUUGGUAAGGUAACGGCUUACCAAGACGAUGAUGGGUAGGGGUCCUGAGAGGGAGAUCCCCCACACUGGUACUGAGACACGGACCAGCGUCCUACGGGAGGCAGCAGUGAGGAAUAUUUGUCAAUGGGCGCAAGCCUGAACCAGCCAUGCCGCGUGCAGGAAGACGGUCCUAUGGAUUGUAAACUGCUUUUAUACAGGAAGAAACAACUCUACGUGUAGAGUCUUGACGGUACUGUAGGAAUAAGGAUCGGCUAACUCCGUGCCAGCAGCCGCAGUAAGAC
rnacentral:rRNA from 1 species